UGCAACGUCAUUCUGCAACGUCGCUCUGC
rnacentral:sRNA from 1 species